rnacentral:rRNA from 1 species
AUGAACGCUGGCGGCGUGCCUAAUACAUGCAAGUCGAGCGAACAGACGAGGAGCUUGCUCCUUUGACGUUAGCGGCGGACGGGUGAGUAACACGUGGGUAACCUACCUAUAAGACUGGGAUAACUUCGGGAAACCGGAGCUAAUACCGGAUAAUAUUUCGAACCGCAUGGUUCGAUAGUGAAAGAUGGCUCUGCUAUCACUUAUAGAUGGACCUGCGCCGUAUUAGCUAGUUGGUAAGGUAACGGCUUACCAAGGCAACGAUACGUAGCCGACCUGAGAGGGUGAUCGGCCACACUGGAACUGAGACACGGUCCAG